CCAAUAGCGUAUAUUAAAGUUGUUGCAGUUAAAAAGCUCGUAGUUGAAUUUCGGGGUUCAUCCGUUGGUCGGGCUUUUGGGUCUGUACUGGCGUGAUGGAUUCCUACCUUCUGAAUAACCAGCAUGUCAUUAAUUUGGUGCGCUGGGGAAGCAGGACUGUUACCUUGAAAAAAUUAGAGUGCUUAAAGCAGGCUAUUGCCUGAAUACAUUAGCAUGGAAUAAUGAAAUAGGACGCAUGGUUCUAUUUUGUUGGUUUCUAGGAUCACCGUAAUGAGUAAUAGGGAUAAUUGGGGGCAUUAGUAUUCAAUUGUCAGAGGUGAAAUUCUUGGAUUUAUUGAAGACUAACUUCUGCGAAAGCAUUUGCCAAGGAUGUUUUCAUUAAUCAAGAACGAAAGUUAGGGGAUCGAAGACGAUCAGAUACCGUCGUAGUCUUAACCAUAAACUAUGCCGACUAGGGAUCGGACGAUGUUAAUUUUUUAAUGACUCGUUCGGCGCCUUACG
rnacentral:rRNA from 1 species